rnacentral:sRNA from 1 species
GAUUUGCAUGAGGGAUGGCAGUGAAAAUCCUCCCCUUUUUAGGGGAGAUUGUAACGAACAGCCCGACCGGAG